rnacentral:rRNA from 1 species
UACGUAGGGUGCAAGCGUUGUCCGGAAUUAUUGGGCGUAAAGAGCUCGUAGGCGGUUUGUCGCGUCUGCUGUGAAAACCCGAGGCUCAACCUCGGGCCUGCAGUGGGUACGGGCAGGCUGGAGUUCGGUAGGGGAGACUGGAAUUCCUGGUGUGGCGGUGAAAUGCGCAGAUAUCAGGAGGAACACCGGUGGCGAAGGCGGGUCUCUGGGCCGAUACUGACGCUGAGAAGCGAAAGCAUGGGGAGCGAACAGG